rnacentral:lncRNA from 12 species
AUGGCUCGCCACAGACAAGAGCUGGACCUGGAGACAGAGUGGAUGAAGGACUCCCAGCAACAGGCUGAGAGAGCACUGGAGGCCCAAGAGAAAGCUCACUGCGAGAGGGUCCACUGCUUGGAGGAACAGGUUUGCACACUGAAAAAACAGUUGGAGCAGGAGAUGAAGAGGAGGCAAGCAUAUAUGAAGCAGAUGUUAAGAUUGGGGCUCUAAAAACCGAAAUGACUUGGGAAUUCAGCCAACGGUGACCAACUGACAGCUUUUUGUUCCCAAACAUGUUUGUAGUCUCUCAAAGGCUUAUAACCAAUGAAACAGGGCCUGUGCUAACAUGAAUGGACUUAUGCAUACUGAGAAGGUAACACACAUAUACUUCACACACACACUUUAGAUUUAAAAACAUACAAAAUCACUGAUCUCAGGGAGAACUGUUGGACUGCAUUUGCACAAAUACUUUAAGUAAUCCUGAUCCAUGCCAUAAGAACCCAGUAACAACAAACAAAGAGAUUACUGUUUCACCAAAUGCUUCUCAAUUGCCAAAUUGUUUUAAGGAUUUGUGCAGCAAACUGUUGAAACAGACCAUAAAUCUACCUAAAGCUUAUCCUUGUUCAUCUUAGAGCAUUAAGCACAAUCUCAAUUCUGCAUCACACACACUUUUAAACAUCUGUACCUACCUUAAAUAUUUCACCCUAGGUCCCCUAAACUGUUUAGCAAACCACAUAAUUAUUCUCUAUUUCUUUUUUAUAACAUGUUACUCUGUAGCUGACAUGAUUGAUGACAUGACUGAAAUGAUGAUCAUUAUUUAAUCACACAACCAUUAAGAGAAUAAGAUCAUCUUGUUUCAGUUAGUACCAAUAAGCUAAAUUACCGCUAGAGUGAAUCAGGACAGAAAAUGAGUCAUAUGUCUUAUCUACAAAUGUUGUUUCAUAUUAAUGCUUCUAUAUGGUGUUUCUCUUAUUAUGGGUGUUAAAACAAUUUCUAAUUCAUAAUCACUACUGUGUUACAGGUUAUUCCAUGUAAUAACUAUUAGAAAACUAGUAUUUUUUAUGAGUCAAUAAAACCAUACAAACAAGAAAAAUAACAAUGAGAUUGAUUUUUGUGGUCUAAAGAAUUGCUGUCAGCUGGCUUUGGUGUAUUUUGGAUAAUUGCUGUAGUUUAUGAUGAUGUGUGCAAAUAAGCUAUAACUGCCUAUAAAAGAAUCUUCUGUGAUGUUCUCCUUCCAAGAUUUGAUUCCCGCCACUAAUGACCCCCUGGUUAAAAAGAAUCUCAUUUUAUUUUAAAAAAAGUUGUUUCAGGCAAAUUUCAAUUAUUUGAAAUCUUGCCUUGUAUGAUUAAUUUAGGGGGAAAUUGGUUUUCAGAGAGUAAGAAAUCUUUCAGUAAAUCUCUAGUCAUAACCAAAGGGCUUUUGUAUAUUUUCCUCCUUUUGAACAGACAUCUUGUGUACAAUAUACAAAGAAUGCACUAUGUAUGCAUCAUAAGACAUCCCAACUCUUACACUGCCAUGUGGUAGUGUGUACCACACUGAGACAUGUUCCUAUGGGGAAGGGUAUUUCUCAGCAAAAGUUGAGAGCAGAGGAGAGUGCCCUGUCAGAGUCUCUUUAAAGCAGCCCUUUGAUUACCAUAGCUCCACCCAGUGCUUAUCCAGUUACUGGUCUCUUCUCAGCUAUUGGAAGAGAGUUCCUAAUCAUGCAAGGUAGUGAAUCCCUGGGGUGGGGGGGGGUGGGGCUGGGUCUGAAAGAACUCCUUUGGCAGGCAGAAUAGAGGUUUUAUUGAGGAUAUUUCUAAACUAACCAUCAGGGACCAAGUCACUGGAUUGUAAAAAAAAAAUCACUCUGCUCCCUCUCCUUUCUCUCUCUCACCCUGUUCAUUUCAGUGAGCGGCACAGAGCACAGCAGCUCUUGAGCACCCAGCAGCACACAGAAUGCAAGGAAUCUACCCCCUUGUUAUAGACCAACAGCCCAAGUACCAGGGCUGAGAAAAGAUCUGAGAAGGGAAGGGUGGAAUUAGAAACCAAAAAAGGAAACUUUACAGAAACAAGGAGAAGAAAGACAAGGAGGAUCAUUAGUUGAGCAUUUGGCACUGGGGUUUAAAGUUGUCUCUGAGUGUCCUGGAUCUUAGUCCUCUCCUCUCC